UGGGGAAUCUUGGACAAUGGGCGCAAGCCUGAUCCAGCCAUGCCGCGUGGAUGAUGAAGGCCCUAGGGUUGUAAAGUCCUUUCGACGGGGAAGAUAAUGACGGUACCCGUAGAAGAAGCCCCGGCUAACUUCGUGCCAGCAGCCGCGGUAAUACGAAGGGGGCUAGCGUUGCUCGGAAUCACUGGGCGUAAAGCGCACGUAGGCGGACUCUUAAGUCGGUGGUGAAAUCCUGGAGCUCAACUCCAGAACUGCCUUCGAUACUGAGAGUCUCGAGUCCGAGAGAGGUGAGUGGAACUGCGAGUGUAGAGGUGAAAUUCGUAGAUAUUCGCAAGAACACCAGUGGCGAAGGCGGCUCACUGGCUCGGUACUGACGCUGAGGUGCGAAAGCGUGGGGAGCAAACAGGAUUAGAUACCCACGUAGUCCCUGAGCGGGCUGGCAAGGCGCAU
rnacentral:rRNA from 1 species